GUAAAUGCGUUAGAAGAGAAGGAGUAUGGCAGAUUUCAGGCAAAGAGAGCUUUCGGUUGGUGGAAGAAGGUGCUGGAGCUGCAGGAAGGUAGUCUUGGAGCAGGUAUUCUGAAAGCAGAGUAGGAAUACUCGUGAAACACGGCGUUAACGUGAUCAAGGCAUGGCAUGGCUGUGUGAAAUAAGGUGGUACCACGUGAAUAACGUCCUUUGG
rnacentral:ncRNA from 1 species